UGGGGAAUAUUGGACAAUGGGCGCAAGCCUGAUCCAGCAAUGCCGCGUGAGUGAUGAAGGCCCUCGGGUUGUAAAGCUCUGUCGGGAGGGACGAAUAUGGUGGUGUAACGACCAUUUCUGACGGUACCUCCAAAGGAAGCACCGGCUAACUCUGUGCCAGCAGCCGCGGUAAUACAGAGGGUGCAAGCGUUGUUCGGAAUUACUGGGCGUAAAGCGCGUGUAGGCGGUCUCAUAAGUCGGAUGUGAAAGCCCUCAGCUUAACUGAGGAAGUGCAUCCGAUACUGCGAGACUUGAGUGUCAGAGGGGAUGGCGGAAUUCCCGGUGUAGAGGUGAAAUUCGUAGAUAUCGGGAGGAACACCUGUGGCGAAGGCGGCCAUCUGGAUGACAACUGACGCUGAGACGCGAAAGCGUGGGUAGCAAACAGG
rnacentral:rRNA from 1 species